UUUUAGUAUGCUUUUUUCAGAAAAGUGGAAAAAGAAAAAGAAAUCUUUUGCCAUUUCGUUGUUUUUAGUGAAAAAGGAAAAUAACUGAAAGAAAGGGAACACAAGUUUUGCAUGCAAAAAGUACUUUUUAUUUAUUCACAUAAUACUUUUAAACAUGGAGGCCCUUACAAGCUAUCCUCUCGUCUCGGGAGAGGAAGAGGGAUGGAGAAAACAAAAUGCAUUACGUUUUUUUCGAGUACAC
rnacentral:lncRNA from 1 species